CCUACGGGAGGCAGCAGUGAGGAAUAUUGGUCAAUGGACGAGAGUCUGAACCAGCCAAGUAGCGUGAAGGAUGACUGCCCUAUGGGUUGUAAACUUCUUUUAUAUGGGAAUAAAAUGUUCCACGUGUGGGAUUUUGUAUGUACCAUAUGAAUAAGGAUCGGCUAACUCCGUGCCAGCAGCCGCGGUAAUACGGAGGAUCUGAGCGUUAUCCGGAUUUAUUGGGUUUAAAGGGAGCGUAGGUGGAUUGUUAAGUCAGUUGUGAAAGUUUGCGGCUCAACCGUAAAAUUGCAGUUGAAACUGGCAGUCUUGAGUACAGUAGAGGUGGGCGGAAUUCGUGGUGUAGCGGUGAAAUGCUUAGAUAUCACGAAGAACUCCGAUGGCGAAGGCAGUUCACUGGACUGCAACUGACACUGAGGCUCGAAAGUGUGGGUAUCAAACAGGAUUAGAUACCCUAGUAGUC
rnacentral:rRNA from 1 species